GAGACAUCAAUACCAUUUAUGGGGUGAAACUUUAGAUAGCUCGUCGAAAAAAUACUCAGUUAGGCUAUUGCCUGAGACCCCAGAUGAACAUUUCCAGUAUAAUGUUACAUCCAAGGAUGGAAUCUUAUAAAUAUUUAGCAAAUAGACAGAUGAUAAUUUAGUAUAUCUAAGUCCAUGGUUGACUGCUCUUUUUAGCAUACUAAAACAUCCUGGAAUGGCCUAUCAGGCUAGUAGAUUCACAACUUGAGCCAAUACGGUUGCUGGAUGGUUAUUUGGAAAGAUAAUGCAUCCAAAUAAUAUCAAUGUUCUUGACGAAUCUCAGAAGACGGAAAACUAAGCCUGAGCCAAAGAUGUUUUUUGUGGUUCCGGUAUUUUAUAGGAGUAUUCCAUUUAGGAUCUAGUAUUCUGUUGCACAGAAAAAUAACAGAAGCUCAAUCAGACUUCUGUGAAAAAUCUGAGGGACUUAAAUAUGCUUGUUUGAUUGUUUGAAUAUUU
rnacentral:lncRNA from 1 species